rnacentral:rRNA from 1 species
UACGUAGGGGGCAAGCGUUGUCCGGAUUUAUUGGGCGUAAAGAGCUCGUAGGUGGUUCGGUAAGUCGGAUGUGAAAUCUCCAGGCUCAACCUGGAGGGGUCAUUCGAUACUGCCGUGACUAGAGGUCGGUAGGGGAGUGUGGAAUUCCUGGUGGAGCGGUGAAAUGCGCAGAUAUCGGGAGGAACACCUGUGGCGAAAGCGGCUCACUGGACCAUAACUGACGCUGAGGCACGAAAGCUAGGGGAGCAAACAGG